CAGAUUCUGGCAUGUGUGUGUCAACUUCCUCCUCCUCUGGGCACAAGUGAUGUCCUCUUUCUGUCCAGUUUCUAUUUUCCCUAACUGAGUGUGUCCCUUCUGGGAAAGCCAUCUGACAAUUCCAUCAUGAAAGCUCCUACUGGGAAAAAUCUGAGAUUCCUACC